rnacentral:rRNA from 1 species
CCCUUAGAUGUCCUGGGCCGCACGCGUGCUACACUGACGCCUACAGCGAGUACUUCCCAGCCCCGAGAGGUGGCUGGUAAUCAGCAAUAGGCGUCGUGAUGGGGAUAGAUCUUUGGAAUUAUGGAUCUUGAACGAGGAAUGCCUAGUAAGCGCAGGUCAUUAGCCUGCGCUGAUUAAGUCCCUGCCCUUUGUACACACCGCCCGUCGCUCCUACCGAUUUCGAGUGGUCCGGUGAAUCUUUCGGACUGCGCGCGGCCUCGUGCCGUGUCGCGGAAAGUCAGGUAAACCUUAUCACUUAGAGGAAGGAGAAGUCGUNACA